rnacentral:tRNA from 1 species
GCGGCCAUAGUUCAAUGGUAGAAUAGGGGACUGUGGAUCCCUUGGCGCGAGUUCGAUUCUCGCUGGCCGCCCCA